rnacentral:rRNA from 1 species
AGUGAACGCUGGCGGUAGGCCUAACACAUGCAAGUCGAACGGCAGCACAGUAAGAGCUUGCUCUUACGGGUGGCGAGUGGCGGGCGGGUGAGGAAUACAUCGGAAUCUACUUUUUCGUGGGGGAUAACGUAGGGAAACUUACGCUAAUACCGCAUACGACCUACGGGUGAAAGCAGGGGAUCUUCGGACCUUUCGCGAUUGAAUGAGCCGAUGUCGGAUUAGCUAGUUGGCGAGGUAAAGGCCCACCAAGGCGACGCUCCGUAGCUGGUCUGAGAGGGUGAUCGGCCACACUGGAACUGGGACACGGUCCAGACUCCUACGGGAGGCAGCAGUGGGGAAUAUUGGGCAAUGGGCGAAAGCCUGACCGAGCAAUGCCGCGUGAGGGAAGAAGGCCUUCGGUUUGUAAAACUCUUUUAUUGGGAAAGAAAAGAAGUGGAAGUACCCCUGCCCAUCUUGACGGUACCUAAAGAGAAAGCCACGGCUAACUCCGUG